CAAAUCGCGACGGGAGAGCUCGCCGCCGGCCCUGGCCGACGACGACGCCGAAGGAGCAAACCCUCCCCGGGAAUCUCUCAGGCCCCCGUACCGUCGUGACGAG
rnacentral:ncRNA from 2 species